rnacentral:rRNA from 1 species
GGGAGCAAUCCUGGUGGCGAGUGGCGAACGGGUGAGUAAUACAUCGGAACGUGUCCUGUAGUGGGGGAUAGCCCGGCGAAAGCCGGAUUAAUACCGCAUACGCUCUACGGAGGAAAGGGGGGGAUCUUAGGACCUCCCGCUACAGGGGCGGCCGAUGGCAGAUUAGCUAGUUGGUGGGGUAAAGGCCUACCAAGGCGACGAUCUGUAGCUGGUCUGAGAGGACGACCAGCCACACUGGGACUGAGACACGGCCCAGACUCCUACGGGAGGCAGCAGUGGGGAAUUUUGGACAAUGGGCGAAAGCCUGAUCCAGCAAUGCCGCGUGUGUGAAGAAGGCCUUCGGGUUGUAAAGCACUUUUGUCCGGAAAGAAAACGUCGUGGUUAAUACCCGUGGCGGAUGACGGUACCGGAAGAAUAAGCACCGGCUAACUACGUGCCAGCAGCCGCGGUAAUACGUAGGGUGCAAGCGUUAAUU